rnacentral:rRNA from 1 species
AGAGUUUGAUCAUGGCUCAGAUUGAACGCUGGCGGCAGGCCUAACACAUGCAAGUCGAGCGGUAGAGAGAAGCUUGCUUCUCUUGAGAGCGGCGGACGGGUGAGUAAUGCCUAGGAAUCUGCCUGGUAGUGGGGGAUAACGUUCGGAAACGGACGCUAAUACCGCAUACGUCCUACGGGAGAAAGCAGGGGACCUUCGGGCCUUGCGCUAUCAGAUGAGCCUAGGUCGGAUUAGCUAGUUGGUGAGGUAAUGGCUCACCAAGGCGACGAUCCGUAACUGGUCUGAGAGGAUGAUCAGUCACACUGGAACUGAGACACGGUCCAGACUCCUACGGGAGGCAGCAGUGGGGAAUAUUGGACAAUGGGCGAAAGCCUGAUCCAGCCAUGCCGCGUGUGUGAAGAAGGUCUUCGGAUUGUAAAGCACUUUAAGUUGGGAGGAAGGGUUGUAGAUUAAUACUCUGCAAUUUUGACGUUACCGACAGAAUAAGCACCGGCUAACUCUGUGCCAGCAGCCGCGGUAAUACAGAGGGUGCAAGCGUUAAUCGGAAUUACUGGGCGUAAAGCGCGCGUAGGUGGUUUGUUAAGUUGGAUGUGAAAUCCCCGGGCUCAACCUGGGAACUGCAUUCAAAACUGACUGACUAGAGUAUGGUAGAGGGUGGGUGGAAUUUCCUGUGUAGCGGUGAAAUGCGUAGAUAUAGGAAGGAACACCAGUGGCGAAGGCGACCACCUGGACUAAUACUGACACUGAGGUGCGAAAGCGUGGGGAGCAAACAGGAUUAGAUACCCUGGUAGUCCACGCCGUAAACGAUGUCAACUAGCCGUUGGAAGCCUUGAGCUUUUAGUGGCGCAGCUAACGCAUUAAGUUGACCGCCUGGGGGAGUACGGCCGCAAGGUUAAAACUCAAAUGAAUUGACGGGGGCCCGCACAAGCGGUGGAGCAUGUGGUUUAAUUCGAUGCAACGCGAAGAACCUUACCUACUCUUGACAUCCAGAGAACUUAGCAGAGAUGCUUUGGUGCCUUCGGGAACUCU